UACGUAGGGUGCAAGCGUUGUCCGGAAUUAUUGGGCGUAAAGAGCUCGUAGGCGGUUUGUCGCGUCAAUUGUGAAAGCCCGGGGCUUAACCCCGGGUCUGCAGUCGAUACGGGCAGGCUAGAGUGUGGUAGGGGAGAUCGGAAUUCCUGGUGUAGCGGUGAAAUGCGCAGAUAUCAGGAGGAACACCGGUGGCGAAGGCGAAUCUCUGGGCCAUUACUGACGCUGAGGAGCGAAAGCGUGGGGAGCGAACAGG
rnacentral:rRNA from 1 species